rnacentral:rRNA from 1 species
CUAAGUAUAAGCUUUUAUACGGCUAAACUGCGAAUGGCUCAUUAAAACAGUUAUAGUUUAUUUGAUGGUCUUUACUACAUGGAUAACCGUGGUAAUUCUAUGGCUAAUACAUGCGCACAUGCCUCUUCCCCUGGAAGGGCAGUGUUUAUUAGAUACAGAACCAACCCACCUUCCGGUGGUCCUCAGGUGAUUCAUAGUAACCGAACGGAUCGCGUUGACUUCGGUCUGCGACGGAUCAUUCAAGUUUCUGACCUAUCAGCUUUCGACGGUACUGUAUUGGACUACCGUG